rfam:Tupaia chinensis contig109428, whole genome shotgun sequence.
CUGCUCGCUUUGGCAGCACAUAUGCGAAAAUUGGAACAAUACAGUGAAGAUUAGCAUAGCCCUGUGCAAGGAUGGCAUGCAAAUUCGUGAAGCGUUCCAUGUUUUU